rnacentral:rRNA from 1 species
GAUGAACGCUGGCGGCGUGCCUAAUACAUGCAAGUCGAGCGAACGGACGAGAAGCUUGCUUCUCUGAUGUUAGCGGCGGACGGGUGAGUAACACGUGGAUAACCUACCUAUAAGGCUGGGAUAACUUCGGGAAACCGGAGCUAAUACCGGAUAAUAUUUUGAACCGCAUGGUUCAAAAGUGAAAGACGGUCUUGCUGUCACUUAUAGAUGGAUCCGCGCUGCAUUAGCUAGUUGGUAAGGUAACGGCUUACCAAGGCAACGAUGCAUAGCCGACCUGAGAGGGUGAUCGGCCACACUGGAACUGAGACACGGUCCAGACUCCUACGGGAGGCAGCAGUAGGGAAUCUUCCGCAAUGGGCGAAAGCCUGACGGAGCAACGCCGCGUGAGUGAUGAAGGUCUUCGGAUCGUAAAACUCUGUUAUUAGGGAAGAACAUAUGUGUAAGUAACUGUGCACAUCUUGACGGUACCUAAUCAGAAAGCCACGGCUAACUACGUGCCAGCAGCCGCGGUAAUACGUAGGUGGCAAGCGUUAUCCGGAAUUAUUGGGCGUAAAGCGCGCGUAGGCGGUUUUUUAAGUCUGAUGUGAAAGCCCACGGCUCAACCGUGGAGGGUCAUUGGAAACUGGAAAACUUGAGUGCAGAAGAGGAAAGUGGAAUUCCAUGUGUAGCGGUGAAAUGCGCAGAGAUAUGGAGGAACACCAGUGGCGAAGGCGACUUUCUGGUCUGUAACUGACGCUGAUGUGCGAAAGCGUGGGGAUCGAACAGGAUUAGAUACCCUGGUAGUCCACGCCGUAAACGAUGAGUGCUAAGUGUUAGGGGGUUUCCGCCCCUUAGUGCUGCAGCUAACGCAUUAAGCACUCCGCCUGGGGAGUACGACCGCAAGGUUGAAACUCAAAGGAAUUGACGGGGACCCGCACAAGCGGUGGAGCAUGUGGUUUAAUUCGAAGCAACGCGAAGAACCUUACCAAAUCUUGACAUCCUUUGACAACUCUAGAGAUAGAGCCUUCCCCUUCGGGGGACAAAGUGACAGGUGGUGCAUGGUUGUCGUCAGCUCGUGUCGUGAGAUGUUGGGUUAAGUCCCGCAACGAGCGCAACCCUUAAGCUUAGUUGCCAUCAUUAAGUUGGGCACUCUAAGUUGACUGCCGGUGACAAACCGGAGGAAGGUGGGGAUGACGUCAAAUCAUCAUGCCCCUUAUGAUUUGGGCUACACACGUGCUACAAUGGACAAUACAAAGGGCAGCGAAACCGCGAGGUCAAGCAAAUCCCAUAAAGUUGUUCUCAGUUCGGAUUGUAGUCUGCAACUCGACUACAUGAAGCUGGAAUCGCUAGUAAUCGUAGAUCAGCAUGCUACGGUGAAUACGUUCCCGGGUCU